rnacentral:misc_RNA from 1 species
CUAAGGAUAACUAAAAACUUGUUUUUUAGUUCUCACUUAACAUAGACAAAUAUGACCGUCCUCGUUUCUCUUCCAUUUAUCUCUAGUAGAUUACUUACGUUGUAAUCAUUGGAAGAGCCUAAAUGUAAUGUCAUGGGCCGGUAGCUCAGUUGGUUAGAGCACACCCUUGAUAAGGGUGGGGUCGAAAGUUCGAGUCUUUCUCGGCCCACCAUUAUUUUUUAGUUGGGGGAUUAGCUCAGCUGGGAGAGCGCCUGAUUUGCAUUCAGGAGGUCAGCGGUUCGAUCCCGCUAUCCUCCACCAAACUUAGAGAAAUUUUUAUACAUUGUUAAUUUGAAGAAAAUAUUUUUUUUAUAUCCGUAGGAACAAAUUUAUUUGUUCUUACAAUUUAAAAAUUCAUAAUCACAAAAAAUUAUUUAUAAUUUUUUGAAUACACAGAAAAAUUUUUUCUGUGCAUAAAUCAAGCGUUUAAGAGCAUAUAGUGGAUGCCUUGGCACUGAAAGUCGAUGAAGGACGUGAUAAACUGCGAUAAGUUUCGGGGAGCUGU